UGGGGAAUAUUGUACAAUGGGCGCAAGCCUGAUGCAGCCAUGCCGCGUGUAUGAAGAAGGCCUUCGGGUUGUAAAGUACUUUCAGCGGGGAGGAAGGCGAUAAGGUUAAUAACCUUGUCGAUUGACGUUACCCGCAGAAGAAGCACCGGCUAACUCCGUGCCAGCAGCCGCGGUAAUACGGAGGGUGCAAGCGUUAAUCGGAAUUACUGGGCGUAAAGCGCACGCAGGCGGUCUGUCAAGUCGGAUGUGAAAUCCCCGGGCUCAACCUGGGAACUGCAUUCGAAACUGGCAGGCUAGAGUCUUGUAGAGGGGGGUAGAAUUCCAGGUGUAGCGGUGAAAUGCGUAGAGAUCUGGAGGAAUACCGGUGGCGAAGGCGGCCCCCUGGACAAAGACUGACGCUCAGGUGCGAAAGCGUGGGGAGCAAACA
rnacentral:rRNA from 1 species